rnacentral:rRNA from 1 species
GACGAACGCUGGCGGCGUGCUUAACACAUGCAAGUCGAGCGGUAAGGCCCUUUCGGGGGUACACGAGCGGCGAACGGGUGAGUAACACGUGGGUGACCUGCCCUCAGCUCUGGGAUAAGCCUGGGAAACCGGGUCUGAUACUGGAUAUGACUCCAUGACGCAUGUUGUGGGGUGGAAAGCCUUGUGCGGCUGAGGAUGGGCCCGCGGCCUAUCAGCUUGUUGGUGGGGUGAUGGCCUACCAAGGCGACGACGGGUAGCCGGCCUGAGAGGGCGACCGGCCACACUGGGACUGAGACACGGCCCAGACUCCUACGGGAGGCAGCAGUGGGGAAUCUUGCGCAAUGGGCGAAAGCCUGACGCAGCGACGCCGCGUGAGGGAUGACGGCCUCGGU